UCCUGCGGCUGCGCAGACCCGUCCGCUCCUUCUGCGGCUGCGCGGUGGCCCCUCGGCACCUUUUGCGGCUGCGCAGUGGAACCCCUGCUGGGCCGUGGAUGCAGUCGAUUUCCCACUGCAGUAAUUUACCCCUGCGGGUUGAACUCCACUGACGAGCCUACAGGCUCAGCCCAGAGGCUUCCCCUUCUAGCACCACAUCCAAGCUGCACCCUGCAAACUUCACACAAUGCUACCCCACUCCAGAGGGUCAUUAAUUCAAGAAAUAUUUCUUGAGUGUCGGCUCUGUCCCUUGCUUUAGCCGUUGUGUGGAGGAAAACCAUACCAAUCCUUAGACUCACGUUUGGUCUAGGGCUCCUGGUAUCCAUCCAGAUGGCCUGAAGUAACUGAAGAUCCACAAAAGAAGUAAAAAUAGCCUUAACUGAUGACAUUCCACCGUUGUGAUUUGUUCCUGCCCCACCCUAACUGAUCAAUGUACUUUGUCAUCUCCCCCACCCUUAAGAAGGUACUUUGUAAUCUCCCCCACCCUUAAGAAGGUACUUUGUAAUCUCCCCCACCCUUAAGAAGGUUCUUUGUAAUUCUCCCUACCCUUGAGAAUGUACUUUGAGAGAUCCACCCCUGCCCCCAAAACAUUGCUCCUAACUCCACCGCCUAUCCCAAAACCUAUAAGAACUAAUGAUAAUCCACCACCUUUUGCUGACUCUCUUUUCGGACUCAGCCCGCCUGCAUCCAGGUGAUUAAAAGCUUUAUUGCUCACAC